CUUUCAACAACGGAUCUCUUGGUUCUGGCAUCGAUGAAGAACGCAGCGAAAUGCGAUAAGUAAUGCGAAUUGCAGAAUUCCAGUGAGUCAUCGAAUCUUUGAACGCACAUUGCGCCCUUUGGUAUUCCGAAGGGCAUGCCUGUUCGAGCGUCAUUAUCACCCCUCAAGC
rnacentral:rRNA from 1 species